AACGGUUAAUUUGCGAGUUUAGGGACCAGGAUGACACUACAGUAUAAGUUUAAGGACUGGUGGUGGAUUUUACUCUAUCAAAAAAUAUAAUAAAACCAAUUUUUCUAGGUCAGGUUUUACUAGAUCCGCACCUAGUAAAAUAAUAAGCAGUGGUAUUACAAACAUUUACCAGCUUUCACCUAUUCUGUUAGCUUUCACCCAUUCUAGAAAAUAGGAGGAACAGCUUCUAAAGUACGUAAUAAAUCACACACAAAAAAUAGUAAAACCAAUUUUUCUAGGUUGGGUUUUACUAGAUCUUUCACCCAUUCUAGAAAACGCUGGUGCUUGUACAUAAAGAAAGAGGACUUGCUAGCAAUAAUAGGAGAGAAGAUAGUGUUGCCAAUGUAAAAGUACAAGAGAGAAAGAAAAGAAAAAAAUAGCUCUAAUAAUUUAGAAACAGACCAGGGUUGACAAUGGAAAAGCAACUAUUAGCUUCCUGCUGGAUUGGACCAAAUAACCUAAUACUUGUAAAAUACGUAAUAAAUCACACAAAUAUAAAAAAAUGCUAAAACCAUUUUAUCUAGGUUGAGUUUUACUAGAUCUGCACCAUAGUAAAAUAAUAAAUUGAGGUAUUAUAGACAUUUACCAACUUUUCGAUCAUUCUAGAAAAAAAUAGGAAGAUCCGCUUGUAAAAUACGUAAUAAAUCACACAAAUUACAAAAAGUAGUAAAACCAAAUUCUAGGUUGGGUUUUACUAUAUCUUUCACCCAUUCUAGAAAACGCUGAGGACCUACUAUCAAGAGUAGGAGAGAAGAUUGGGUUGCCAAUGUAAAAAUAUAAGAGAGAAAGAAAAGAAAAAAUAGCUCUAAUAAUUUAGAAACAGAUAAGGGUUGCUGAUGAAAAAGCCAAGUAUUAGCUUCCCGCUGAAAUGAACCAAAUCACCUCAUGCUUGUAAAAUAUAUACCUAUCUAUAAAGAGGAAAAUUUCAGUCUGCCCCGCCCCUUUCGUCAACUACCGAUUAAGACUAGGAAAGAUAAUAGAAAAAAAUACAGGGUUCCAGAUGUAAAGAUAGAAGAGAGAAAGAAGAAUUCUAAGGACCUUAAUAGUUUUUAAAAUAAAUUAGGAUUUUUGAUGCAAAAUGUCCAAAUUCAAGUGGGCUUUUUUUACUUAGGCCUUCGUUGGGCUGGACCAAGCCCAUGCAAACAUUUUUAUUUUUAUUUUUAUUUUUCUCUUUUUUAUAAAAAACAGUGAUUUUACAAAAAUUCAACAAAAAUCAUUAAAAAUCAGAAAAAUUUUAGACCAAUUUUGUCAGAUUUAUAAAAAUAUGAUCUAUCCAUAGAUGUUAUGAAUCUUGUAAGAUUGUGCUUUAACUAUAGGUGUAUUAAAUUAUCUUUACAUAUACAUAUAUUGUAAGCAUAUAGGUUCAGAGAUGACU
rnacentral:lncRNA from 1 species